rnacentral:rRNA from 1 species
UACAGAGGUGGCAAGCGUUGUUCGGAAUUACUGGGCGUAAAGGGCGCGUAGGCGGUCUUGCAAGUCCUGUGUGAAAUCCCUCGGCUCAACUGAGGAACUGCACAGGAAACUGCUUGGCUUGAGUUCGGGAGAGGGAAGCGGAAUUCCGGGUGUAGCGGUGAAAUGCGUAGAUAUCGGGAGGAACACCAGUGGCGAAGGCGGUUGCCUGGAGCUUUGCUGACGCUGAGGCGCGAAAGCGUGGGGAGCGAUCCGG